CACGCCGUAAACGAUGAUCACUAGCUGUUGGCGAUAUACCGAUCAGUGGCAAAGCAAAAGCAUUAAGUGAUCCACCUGGGGAGUACGGCCGCAAGGCUGAAACUCAAAGGAAUUGACGGGGGCCCGCACAAGCGGAGGAACAUGUGGUUUAAUUCGAUGAUACGCGAGGAACCUUACCUGGGCUUAAAUGUAGAGUGCAUUGGAGGGAAACUUUCAUUUUCUUCGGAACUUUUUACAAGGUGC
rnacentral:rRNA from 1 species